GACGAACGCUGGCGGCGUGCUUAACACAUGCAAGUCGAGCGGUAAGGCCCUUUCGGGGGUACACGAGCGGCGAACGGGUGAGUAACACGUGGGUGACCUGCCCUCAGCUCUGGGAUAAGCCUGGGAAACUGGGUCUAAUACUGGAUAUGACUCCACGGUGCAUGUCGUGGGGUGGAAAGCCUUGUGCGGCUGAGGAUGGGCCCGCGGCCUAUCAGCUUGUUGGUGGGGUGANGGGCCUACCAAGGCGACGACGGGUAGCCGGCCUGAGAGGGCGACCGGCCACACUGGGACUGAGACACGGCCCAGACUCCUACGGGAGGCAGCAGUGGGGAAUCUUGCGCAAUGGGCGAAAGCCUGACGCAGCGACGCCGCGU
rnacentral:rRNA from 1 species